UAAAACGCGAAGAACCUUACCAAAUCUUGACAUCCUUUGACCGCUCUAGAGAUAGAGUCUUCCCCUUCGGGGGACAAAGUGACAGGUGGUGCAUGGUUGUCGUCAGCUCGUGUCGUGAGAUGUUGGGUUAAGUCCCGCAACGAGCGCAACCCUUAAGMUUAGUUGCCAUCAUUAAGUUGGGCACUCUARGUUGACUGCCGGUGACAAACCGGAGGAAGGUGGGGAUGACGUCAAAUCAUCAUGCCCCUUAUGAUUUGGGCUACACACGUGCUACAAUGGAUAAUACAAAGGGCAGCGAAUCCGCGAGGCCAAGCAAAUCCCAUAAAAUUAUUCUCAGUUCGGAUUGUAGUCUGCAACUCGACUACAUGAAGCUGGAAUCGCUAGUAAUCGUAGAUCAGCAUGCUACGGUGAAUACGUUCCCGGGUCUUGUACACACCGAGA
rnacentral:rRNA from 1 species